UGAAGGCGGUUAAAAAGCUGCCUAAUACUGCUUGAAUUGCUGGAAAACCCUAAAGCCAAUUUAACAACAACAUAAUAUCUAUUAAAAGCUCUUUAUAUGAAAAAAAUUUAGAUAUAAGUGUGACUGUUGCGAAAGCGGAAAAAAUAAAUUGGAUGGCAUAAAGAUAUAAAGUUUAUUAUGGUUAAAACCUAAGUGCUGAAAUUAAAUAGAAUAAUGGGCAAUCAGCAGCUAAGACCGAAAGGUAAAGUUCAACGACUAUUCCAUUUAGGAAGUACACCAAAGCUGGUGGAAGUGGGCAGACCCAAACAGAUAAAGCUGUGGGAUAAGAUAUAGUCUGUGCUUAAUAGAAAUAUUAAG
rnacentral:autocatalytically_spliced_intron from 1 species